UCAACUCGUUCACGAAUGAGAAGAUCUCUCGAUCUCGUUCAGUGAAGGCCAUAUGGGUUCAAUGCAUUCAACAAAUCACAUGCUCCGUCACAUCUUGAGUAACUCUUUGACAGGAUGAAACGGACGGGAUGGGUAAAGAAAUGUUACUUUAUUUGCGGGCUGGGGCGGGCCAAAUAAUUUCAUAAAAGCAGGACCCGCGGGUUAGAAAAAACCCCGACCCGCGCAUCACUAGGCUGCAUGUGCGAGCACAAGUGAUGCUGUGACCGCCGGUCCACGACUGGCAGAAAAAGAUGACGCUCAAUAAAGAUGACGCUCAUUAAAGCUCACUGGCUGAGUUUUCUCCUCUGAAAGAAAAGGUUGCACAACUGGCAGAAUAAGUUACAAUAUCUGAGAUAUUGCUGCUAAA